GCUUACCACUCUGUAGCUCAGUGGUUAGAGCACUGGUCUUGUAAACCAGGGGUCGAGAGUUCGAGUCUCUCCAGAGGCU